rnacentral:rRNA from 1 species
CUCGUAGGCGGCCUGUCACGUCGGAAGUGAAAACCCGGGGCUCAACCCCGGGCCUGCUUUCGAUACGGGCAGGCUUGAGUUCGGUAGGGGAGACUGGAACUCCUGGUGUAGCGGUGGAAUGCGCAGAUAUCAGGAAGAACACCGAUGGCGAAGGCAGGCCUCUGGGCCGAUACUGACGCUGAGGAGCGAAAGCGUGGGGAGCAAACA